GACGAACGCUGGCGGCGUGCUUAACACAUGCAAGUCGAACGGAAAGGCCCUGCUUUUGUGGGGUGCUCGAGUGGCGAACGGGUGAGUAACACGUGAGUAACCUGCCCUUGACUUUGGGAUAACUUCAGGAAACUGGGGCUAAUACCGGAUAGGAGCUCCUGCUGCAUGGUGGGGGUUGGAAAGUUUCGGCGGUUGGGGAUGGACUCGCGGCUUAUCAGCUUGUUGGUGGGGUAGUGGCUUACCAAGGCCUUGACGGGUAGCCGGCCUGAGAGGGUGACCGGCGACAUUGGGACUGAGAUACGGCCCAGACUCCUACGGGAGGCAGCAGUGGGGAGUAUUGCACAAUGGGCGGAAGCCUGGUGUAGCAACGCCGCGUGCGGGAUGACGUCCUUCGGGUUGUGAACCGCUUUCGCCUGUGACGAGGCGUGAGUGACGGUAAUGGGUGAAGAAGCACCGGCUAACUACGUG
rnacentral:rRNA from 1 species